rnacentral:rRNA from 1 species
GACGAACGCUGGCGGCGUGCUUAACACAUGCAAGUCGAACGGACGAGUGAGAUAAGUUUACUUAACUCACAAGUUAGUGGCGGACGGGUGAGUAACACGUGGAUAAUCUACCUGCAACACCGGGAUAACGCUGUGAAAACGGUGCUAAUACCGGAUACGUUCCCUUGUGCGCAUGUAUGAGGGAAGAAAGCUCAGGCGGUUGCAGAUGAGUCCGCGGCUGAUUAGCUAGUUGGUGAGGUAAAGGCUCACCAAGGCGAUGAUCAGUAGCCGGCCUGAGAGGGUGAACGGCCACACUGGGACUGAGACACGGCCCAGACUCCUACGGGAGGCAGCAGUGGGGAAUCUUCCGCAAUGGGCGCAAGCCUGACGGAGCAACGCCGCGUGGGUGAAGAAGGCCUCGGUGUAAGCCUGUCUUAUGGAGAAGUACAGUGACGGUACCAUAGGAGGAAGCCACGGCUAACUACGUGCAGCAGCCGCGGUAAGAGUAGUACA